UCGGAUCGGGAAAUUGUUUCCCACUCCCCCGCCCUCGCCGCCGCCGCCUCCCGCCCCUCGUCUACGCCCCAGCAGCCGCCGCCUCACGCCGGCCUAGCGCAGCCGUCGUCCCCGCGCCACCCCCCACCUCAUCGGCGUCAUGUCCGGCCCCACCCCGACUCCGACCCCGACCCCUCUCCCGCCGCCGCCGCCGCCGGCGGCCGCUCGGCCCGCGCGGUACGACUUCCUCAACUCCAAGCCGCCGCCCAACUACGUCGCGGGUCUCGGCCGUGGCGCCACCGGGUUCACCACUCGCUCGGAUAUCGGGCCGGCCCGCGCGGCGCCCGACCUCCCCGACCGCUCCGCCUCCGCUGCCGCGGCACCAGCCGUCGGCCGCGGCCGCGGGAAGCCGCCAGGCGAGGACGAUGGCGACGAUGACGGGGGCGACGAGGAGAAGGGGUAUGACGAGAACCAGAAGUUCGACGAGUUCGAGGGCAACGACGCCGGGCUCUUCUCCAACGCCGACUACGACGACGACGACCGCGAGGCGGAUGCGGUGUGGGAGAGCAUCGACCAGAGGAUGGACUCGCGCCGCAAGGACCGCCGCGAGGCGCGGCUGAAGCAGGAGAUUGAGAAGUACCGCGCGUCGAACCCCAAGAUUACCGAGCAGUUUGCUGAUCUGAAGAGGAAGCUGGCCGAUCUGUCUGCACAGGAGUGGGAGAGCAUACCUGAGAUUGGGGACUAUUCGCUACGCAACAAGAAGAAGCGGUUCGAGAGUUUCGUACCAGUGCCGGACACCCUUCUUGAGAAGGCCCGGCAGGAGCAGGAGCAUGUCACGGCGCUUGAUCCCAAAAGCCGUGCAGCUGGUGGCACAGAGACGCCGUGGGCGCAGACUCCUGUUACCGAUCUUACAGCUGUGGGCGAGGGUCGUGGCACUGUGCUUUCGCUGAAGUUGGAUAGGCUAUCAGAUUCAGUUUCUGGGCUCACUGUUGUUGAUCCCAAGGGGUACUUGACAGACCUGAAAAGCAUGAAGAUUACUAGUGAUGCGGAGAUUUCUGACAUCAAGAAGGCACGACUCCUGCUGAAGUCAGUGACUCAGACGAACCCUAAGCACCCACCUGGUUGGAUUGCUGCUGCUAGGCUUGAAGAGAUUGCAGGCAAACUUCAGGCUGCUCGGCAGCUCAUCCAGCGUGGCUGUGAGGAGUGUCCCAAAAACGAAGAUGUUUGGCUUGAGGCAUGUCGUUUGGCUAGUCCAGAUGAGGCAAAGGCUGUCAUUGCCAGGGGUGUUAUGUCAAUUCCAAAUUCUGUGAAGCUGUGGUUGCAGGCUGCAAAAUUAGAGACCAGUGAUCUGAAUAGGAGCAGGGUGUUGAGGAAAGGAUUGGAGCACAUUCCUGAUUCCGUGCGGUUGUGGAAGGCUGUAGUUGAGCUUGCAAAUGAGGAGGAUGCAAGGUUGUUGCUUCACAGGGCUGUGGAGUGUUGCCCACUGCAUGUUGAGCUGUGGCUUGCCCUUGCAAGGCUGGAGACUUAUGACCAAGCAAGGAAGGUACUUAACAAGGCAAGGGAGAAGCUGCCCAAGGAGCCUGCCAUUUGGAUUACUGCUGCGAAGCUGGAGGAGGCUAAUGGGAACACACAAUCAGUUAGCAAGGUGAUUGAGAGAGGUAUCAGAUCUCUACAAAGAGAAGGGAUGGAUAUUGAUAGGGAGGCAUGGCUUAAAGAAGCAGAAGCUGCAGAGCGUGCUGGAUCUGUUUUGACUUGCCAGGCUAUUGUGAAGAACACAAUUGGCAUUGGUGUUGAUGAUGAGGAUCGGAAGCGUACUUGGGUUGCUGAUGCUGAGGAAUGCAAGAAGCGUGGUUCAAUUGAAACAGCGCGUGCCAUCUAUGCUCAUGCGCUUACUGUGUUCCUUACUAAGAAGAGUAUUUGGCUGAAAGCAGCUCAGCUUGAGAAGAGCCAUGGGACUAGGGAGUCACUUGAUGCGCUCCUCAAGAAGGCUGUUAACUACAAUCCACGAGCUGAAGUGUUAUGGCUUAUGGCUGCAAAGGAGAAAUGGUUGGCUGGGGAUGUACCUGCUGCUCGAGCCAUUCUUCAAGAAGCUUAUGCUGCUAUCCCUAAUUCAGAAGAGAUCUGGUUGGCUGCAUUCAAGCUUGAGUUUGAGAACAACGAACCAGAGAGAGCAAGAAUGCUUUUGGCUAAGGCCAGGGAAAGAGGAGGCACUGAGAGGGUUUGGAUGAAAUCUGCCAUUAUUGAAAGGGAGCUAGGGAAUGUGACUGAGGAAAGGAGGUUGUUAGAGGAAGGUCUGAAGCUAUUCCCCUCAUUCUUCAAAUUGUGGCUAAUGCUUGGACAGAUGGAAGACCGCCUUGGUCGUGGAGCAAAGGCCAAGGAGGUUUAUGAGAAUGGCCUGAAGCAGUGCCCUAGUUGCAUCCCUCUUUGGCUCUCUCUAGCUAGCUUAGAGGAGAAGAUUAGUGGCUUGAACAAAUCCCGUGCUGUUCUCACAAUGGCAAGAAAGAAGAACCCAGCUACACCUGAACUCUGGCUUGCAGCAAUUCGAGCUGAACUGAGGCAUGCAAACAAAAAGGAAGCUGAUGCUCUGCUGGCUAAGGCAUUACAAGAGUGUCCCACAAGUGGUAUUCUGUGGGCUGCCUCUAUUGAGAUGGCGUCACGCCCCCAACGUAAAGCGAAGAGUUCAGAUGCUAUCAAGCGUUCUGAUCAUGAUCCACAUGUCAUUGCAACUGUGUCCAAACUCUUCUGGCUUGAGAGGAAGUUUGAUAAAGUUAGGACUUGGUUGAACAGGGCUGUUACUCUUGCUCCUGAUAUUGGGGACUUUUGGGCAUUGUACUAUAAAUUAGAACUUCAGCAUGGAAAUGCAGACACUCAAAAGGAUGUCCUUAAAAGAUGUGUUGCAGCAGAACCAAAACAUGGUGAAAAAUGGCAAGCAAUAAGCAAGGCUGUUGAGAACUCACAUCAGCCAGUUGAGGUUCUUCUAAAGAAAGCUGUCCUAGCUUUUGAUGCGGAUGAAAUUCUCAAUGCUGGAGGCGCCUAGACUCUGAGAUCAUAGAUAUAUUUUUAUAAGAUCUAUACCUUAGAUAUCUUCUUCUACUGGAAUGACAGAGAGAGAAGAAAGAGCUGGGUAGUGUGCUGGUUUGGACUCCAGUGAUCAGCUUUUGUUGGUAGUGUCAGCUACCAAACUAUUUGUACAACACAUUUGAGAGUGGAAGCUUAGGUUUGAAUCUUCUGCAUACUAACAUUGGAAUUUGGAAUAGCUGAAGAAAGUAACAACAGUUUGGCGAGUAAAUAAUUCCUGUCAGGAAUCAGCACCGGAGCUGGAUUGAUUUCUGCUCGCUGCCAAGAUGAGUUUGCAGCACUGCCCAAGACAGAAGAUACGCUCGUUUGAGUUUUCAGCCAAGACAUAGACAAGCUCGGUUUUUUCCACAUUGCACGAGGAGAGCUUAAAUUGUGGAAGCACAAUUCAGUUGUCAUGCGUCUAUCAGUCAACGCAAUCUAGAACUUCUGUAUAUGGUUCCCCAUGAUCUGUCUCCAUGCUGGCAAAAUUCCGAGGGCAGAGUUAACCAAAUAGGAAAAUACACAAUGGUGUGUGCCCUGAAAAGUUCUCCCGGUAUGAAAGGUUCAUUAUUAUUCCCUUUUAUACUGUAUAUAUUUGGGCUGGUUGGAACCGAACAUGAUCAAGCUAAAACAGUCUAUAUGAAAUGGCUUGGGGCGUAUCUAGA